UGGAUUUCUUCUGAGGAAAUCUUUGUUGUG
rnacentral:piRNA from 1 species